UAGGUGAACCUGCGGAAGGAUCAUUACAGUAGUCGCCCGGGUUGCCGCAAGGCCUCCCGGGUAACCUACCACCCUUUGUUUAUUACACUUUGUUGCUUUGGCAAGCCUGCCCUCGGGCUGCUGGCUCCGGCCGGCGAGCGCUUGCCAGAGGACCUAAACUCUGUUUGUCUAUACUGUCUGAGUACUAUAUAAUAGUUAAAACUUUCAACAACGGAUCUCUUGGUUCUGGCAUCGAUGAAGAACGCAGCGAAAUGCGAUAAGUAAUGUGAAUUGCAGAAUUCAGUGAAUCAUCGAAUCUUUGAACGCACAUUGCGCCCCCUGGUAUUCCGGGGGGCAUGCCUGUCCGAGCGUCAUUACAACCCUCAAGCUCAGCUUGGUGUUGGGCCCCGCCGCCCCGGCGGGCCCUAAAGUCAGUGGCGGUGCCGUCCGGCUCCGAGCGUAGUAAUUCUUCUCGCUCUGGAGGCCCGGUCGUGUGCUCGCCAGCAACCCCCAAUUUUUUUCAGGUUGACCUCGGAUCAGGUAGGGAUACCCGCUGAACUUAAGCAUAUCAAUAA
rnacentral:rRNA from 1 species